UAAGCACAAAGUUGAACCAGAAAAGCGAAGUUCCUAACAUACAAGGAGGACACAGUCUUCGAUUUGAAGAGCUUGAUUUCUCAUUUGAUACAAGAUACAGGUGAACAUAAACAAGGAAAGAAGCAGAGAAAGAAAGAAUAGUGGACUCCUACUCAUUGCAUAGGUAUCUUUCACAGGCCCCUUGAGCAGAAUACCUGAACUGAAC